UCCUACACAAUUGCGUAGCAGUUGGCUCCUUGGCCGAACGUGUUGGUCACCCAUGACGGCAGCCGGCUCUUCGCAAAAUCGUACAACACAAGGUUGCAGUCGUUCUGCAUAGCAAGCAGAUACCUGUCAUUCUUGCUCCGAAGGGCGAAUCCUACCGGAAACUGACCUAGUGCCACUACUAUGCUCUGUGCCUCUUGAACCCCAUCCGCAGCGCAUGGAAUGGAGGUUAGUGUCAUCACAAAGUUCAAGAGGUUGAGUAAGCGGCUUUUGAAAAUGUACAUCUCCAUUCCUUAUAAAACAGGUAGUUAUUCUACUUAUGUGCUCGAUUCAUGUUUUAGGUGUGCGUUAUUUUACAAGCCACUCUUAAUUCAUCUUCUUCAUCAUCACCAGGUAUUGCGCAUGAAAAAGGCAGCUGCGACACGCAUUUGUACCCUGUUCGCUCCACCAGUCAUCUGCUGCUAAGUUACAGGAUUGAGUAUCGUAGGCAAUCCAGAAACCGUGUUAAAAUUCAAACCACUUUCCUUUGUUGCUAACAAUCUUUCGUCGCAUAUUGUUGACUAAAGGUAGUGCUGGCGAGUUGGUUUGCACGUCACUUAUGUGUUACGUAUGUAUGGCGUGCUAUUCGUAGAACGCCCGAUCAGGACUGCAAUUGAAGCGAUGAGUGAAAAAUGUACCUUGUUUUAGAAUUCAAAUAUGGCUUCCUAGUUACGACGGU
rnacentral:lncRNA from 1 species